CAGCAGCCGCGGUAAUACGUAAGGACCGAGCGUUGUCCGGAAUCAUUGGGCGUAAAGGGUACGUAGGCGGUUAACUAAGUUAGAAGUCAAAGGCUAUAGCUCAACUAUAGUAAGCUUUUAAAACUGGUUAACUUGAGAGAUGGAAGGGAAAGUGGAAUUCCUAGUGUAGCGGUGAAAUGCGCAGAUAUUAGGAGGAAUACCGGUGGCGAAGGCGACUUUCUGGCCAUUAUCUGACGCUGAGGUACGAAAGCGUGGGUAGCAAACAGGAUUAGGUACCCUGGUAGUCCACGCCGUAAACGAUGAGUGUUAGGUGUCUGGAGUAAAUCUGGGUGCCGCAGCUAACGCAAUAAACACUCCGCCUGGGGAGUACGCACGCAAGUGUGAAACUCAAAGGAAUUGACGGGGACCCGCACAAGCAGCGGAGCAUGUGGUUUAAUUCGAAGCAACGCGAAGAACCUUACCAAGUCUUGACAUAUUUUGGAAGUAGUUAGAGAUAACUACCUAUAUCUUCGGAUAACUAAAAUACAGGUGGUGCAUGGUUGUCGUCAGCUCGUGUCGUGAGAUGUUGGGUUAAGUCCCAUAACGAGCGCAACCCCUAUGGCUAGUUACCAUCAUUAAGUUGGGGACUCUAGCAAUACUGCCGGUGACAAACCGGAGGAAGGUGGGGAUGACGUCAAAUCAUCAUGCCCUUUAUGACUUGGGCUACACACGUGCUACAAUGGCAGGUACACAGGGCAGCGAAAUUGUGAAAUUAAGCGAACCUCAAAAAGCCUGUCCCAGUUCGGAUUGCACUCUGCAACUCGAGUGCAUGAAGUUGGAGUUGCUAGUAAUCGCAGAUCAGAAUGCUGCGGUGAAUGCGUUCCCGGGUCUUGUACACACCGCCCGUCACACCAUGGAAGUUGGCAAUACCCGAAGCCUGUGAGCAAACCAAAAAGGAAGCAGCAGUCGAAGGUAGGGUCAGUAACUGGGGUGAAGUCGUAACAAGGUAGCCGUA
rnacentral:rRNA from 1 species